rnacentral:rRNA from 1 species
UACAGAGGGUGCGAGCGUUAAUCGGAAUUACUGGGCGUAGAGCGUGCGCAGGCGGCUUCGCAAGUCAGGUGUGAAAUCCCCGGGCUUAACCUGGGAAUGGCGCUUGAAACUGCGGGGCUAGAGUCUGCCAGAGGGGGGGUGGAAUUCCACGUGUAGCAGUGAAAUGCGUAGAGAUGUGGAGGAACACCGAUGGCGAAGGCAGCCCCCCUGGGGUAAGACUGACGCUCAGGCACGAAAGCGUGGGGAGCAAACAGG